ACUCCAGUCGGUGUUGAGCACGGCGAGCAGUCUCAGGCCUUUAGUGAUGAUGGUAAGGCUGCCUGGGUGGGAAAACGGGGUCUUCCUUGACACGACACUAACAUACUUGGCUUCCCUUCCUCAGAGACGAAGUGGUGACGAUAAUCUCGGUUUCUCCCUCAUAGGGUGGUUAGGAGGGUUAAAAGUACUGGAUGAGAAAAUGCUUUCCAAACGUUGAGAAAAUGUUACUAUGUGAAGGGAGAGAGCUCAAGCCCGUCCUCGGCGUCAUAGGGCCGGCUUCUGCGGGGGAGAGCGCCUAACAACCUGGGCAGCCCCGUGCGCCUCCGCCGCGCGUGUGCUGAGCGUCAUGCCCAGGGGUCUUCGGUGCCCGCGCACGGGCAGACUCUGACGAUGGUGGUUCUUAAUUCAGCAUCAGGAGUGUUAACGUGUGAAGACGUGAUUCCGCUUGGAGUGUCUUGAGGACGGCCCCAAUCGGUAGUUCAUAUUUAGCUUUACAGAUAGGAGUCAAUAGGAUUGUAAACUUCUGGAAAGCCGUAGUUUUAACAACGAGCCUUUUUUCCUCCCCCAGAGGCCUUUCUUUGUUUGGCAUCUGCAGAGACGGUGAAAAGCAGAGCUCCAGGUUGAAGGAUCAGAGUAAUAGAUGGAGCCCUUAACAUGAGUAAGAGUGGGUGCAGGCAGGGCCUGAGUGGUCACUAGAAAUGAGAAAGCACAGUUGGUGCCAUCACAUACAUUCACCUCCUGCUUUAUUCUGAAGUUCAAGUAUGAGAAUACGUGUUGACAUACAAGCCAGCUAUGGUGCAGUCAGCCUCAGUUUCCAAAGCCGGAAAAGGAUCCUCUAGUAGCCACGGUGUGGCAGCUGCUCUGAACCAGGACCUGGACCCGGACCCAAAGUGCCAUGUCUUUAAUGUUAGCUCCCAGCGAUGCCAGAUGGGAUCAGCACAGCCCUGCCUCUGCUGCUAAUUGUUCCUCUAAAGUAAUCGCCAUGCGUUCUUUGGGCUUCAUCUUUAAAGGAAUGAAGCAACUGAGAUUAUUCUGGAAAACCUUUUGGCAGUUAGUGAAAUUAGAGUACAACUAAGAACAUUUUCAGACCUCCACUGUGGAUGACCUGGGUAUAAUCUCACAAAUCGAUGGGACUGCAAGGAUUGUAAACUGAAAUGAACAUGAUUAUACUCUGUUGGAAGAGCCUAAGAGGAAACUGAUGCCAUGAGUUUCAGAGAGUAAUGCUUAACCCCAGUUACACAGGAUGCCGUCUUGUGUUUCCUCUUGUUUAGUUACCCACUACAGUGAUUUUGUGAUCUGCUAAUGGGUUGCCACCCACAACCAUUGCUUUAGCACUUUUACUUCAAAUCAAUGAAGGAUUGAUAAAAGUUCUCCUGGUGUCUCCGCAGAGUGCCUUCCAGGAACAGAUCUUUGCAUAGAAUAUCAGUGGUUUCCUUUUUUGUUUCAAAUAGUGGUCAGAAAAUACCCAGUGUUGACUCACCAAGGCAAUCAGCUUCCUUUUUCCCUUUUUUUGUUUUUUUUUUAACAUUUUAUAUUUUUGC
rnacentral:lncRNA from 1 species